rnacentral:lncRNA from 1 species
AACAAAGAAAUUCAACGUAAUAAAGGCGUGGUUUUUUUAGAGAGAAAAUAUCGCAUUCGAGGGCAGUUUCGAUAUCAGUAUCGAAUGCGAUAUUUUCUCUCUGAAAAAACCACGCCUUUAUUACGUCGAAUAUCUUUGUUAAAAUUGGUAAGUGAGUGCUUUGGUCUCCUGAGAACAGAAUUGCGAUCUCAAAAUUGGAGAAAAAUGACGAGUAGCUGAAAAAAUGGAACCAAUUGAUGCGAUAUAUCGCAUGCCGUUCUGACACAAAAUAUGGCGUCCAUCGAAUCACCUUAACCGAGAUAUCUCGCUUUGAAAAAUUCGGUUUAUGACGUCAUCCACUGAAGUAGUGACACCCUUGGUUCCUUCCACCUUGCUUUCAUCAGUCAAGGAAACACUUAUUUUCUCUGGCUACGCAACGUGAAACUCGGAUGAAAGCAUGGUGGAAGAACCAAAGGUGUCAUUAUCGCUUUUGAAGACGUCAUAAACCAAUUUUUUUUUGUAAAACUUUGAUAGACAAUUUUAAUUUUUUUUUAAAAAACUCACUUGCUUCGAUUUCUAAUCAAAAACGAGUUUUAAUCGACGAUUAAAAAGUUUGCAAGGCAAGUGGUUUUUUUUAAAAAAAUUUAAAAUAGUUUAUCAAUUACUAUUCAAAUGCUACCUCCAAUAUGAACAGGGACGGAGAAAGGUAUUGGAGUCAUAAAAACCACAAUUUUUUAAAGGGCGAAAUCUACCUUAACAUUUAACACAGAAGCUUUUUGUUUAAACGGAAGUCUAUUCUCAUAUUUAGUGUAUUUUGCUGAUGUAUACAAUUUAAGUAUAGAAAUCAUAUUUUGUGGUGUGACCUGCACAACUGGCCUAUUUUUAAAUUUCUCAUGAGGCCACCCGAAUCUUUCAAAAUCAUCGUAUCUAUUUUUUUUCUGAUUUUUUUUUCUACAGAGCUUGUCUUGAAACUAUGCUAUCAUUGCCUCAUAUUUGUCCACGUCUGGCUCUGCGCUGUGGCAGCCGAAUCAAGCUACAAAUCUGGCGUACCUCAUGUUGAUAAUUUGACCCUCAGAGAGCAGAAUUUCGGGCAGACCGGAAAUGAGGGACAGGAAACGGAAGUGGCGGAUUCGAGUAAACGUUGGGCGGAGGUGAACGUUGAAAGGGCAGAAAAUUACUUGUCCCUCGAUGAGCACGAUGAAAGCCUGCGUGGCACAGUGGUGGAGAGAAAAAAGAAUCAACCAAUAGGCGUGAGCGUUGAAACCAAGCCAAAGCAUGAGUUCACUCUGAAAAAAACCGUGCCGGAGGGACACCUUCAUGACGAUUCUUACUCGGUCGAUUAUGACGCAAUAAGUAGGUACAGAAUGUAUGUUGCCUCACAUCCUUAAUUCGGUAAAAAUAUUAUGUGAUUUCCUUCCUUUAUUCUGAUUUAUUUUUUAACUGAAAAAAUGCAAAGGGGUCGUCCGUAAAUUACGUAACGCUCUAGGGGGGGGGGGAGGGGAGGUCGAGCAGAGACAUACGCCAUUUUGUUUUUACGUGCUAAAGGAUAUUGGGACCUACGUCACAAAAGCAUUAUAAGGUGGGAGGGGGUCAAAAAUGUCGAAAAAGUGCGUCACGUAAUCUGUGGAUGGCCCUUUCUCUAAAUUUACAUGCAGAAAUUUAUAAUAUACAACCAAGUCAAUCCGCAGUGUCAGGUAUGGUCUUAUUGCUUUCGAUAUAUUUGUAAUAGGCCACUGGGCAAAGUCUCCCAAGUGGUAUUUUUUAAUGGCAAAAUUGCGAUAUUUUGAAAUUCAGUCGCGACUUUUUACGAUUUUGGCGAUAAAAUCGCCAGGCUCAUCAAUAUCUGAGCGAUUAUCCUCAAUCUUGUCGCAAUUUUAUCUCCAUGAAAUCACGCUCGAUGAAAUCGAAAUUUUACCAAAACUUAUCACGAUUUUUUGUUCGAUAAUAUUGCUCGUCGAUAUUAUCGCGAUUUUAUUGCAAAUUUAUGCCAUGAGAC